rnacentral:tRNA from 1 species
AUGUGGCUCAGUGGUAGAGUACUUGCCUCGCAUGUAUGAGGCCCUGAGUUCGAUCCCUUAGCAU